UACGUAGGGUGCGAGCGUUGUCCGGAAUUAUUGGGCGUAAAGGGCUCGUAGGCGGUUUGUCGCGUCUGCUGUGAAAACUCGAGGCUCAACCUCGGGCUUGCAGUGGGUACGGGCAGACUAGAGUGCGGUAGGGGUGACUGGAAUUCCUGGUGUAGCGGUGGAAUGCGCAGAUAUCAGGAGGAACACCGAUGGCGAAGGCAGGUCACUGGGCCGCAACUGACGCUGAGGAGCGAAAGCAUGGGGAGCGAACAGG
rnacentral:rRNA from 1 species